rnacentral:rRNA from 1 species
AUUGAACGCUGGCGGCAGGCCUAACACAUGCAAGUCGAGCGAGCGGCGGACGGGUGAGUAAUGUAUGGGGACCUGCCUGAUCGCGGGGGAUAACUACUGGAAACGGUAGCUAAUACCGCUUACAAUCAGUUGAUCCCACAUGGGAUUCGCUAGUGGGUGUGGUAACGGCUCACCUAGGCGACGAUCCCUAGCUGGUCUGAGAGGAUGGUCAGCCACACUGGGACUGAGAAACGGCCCAGACUCCUACGGGAGGCAGCAGUGGGGAAUAUUGCACAAUGGGAGCAAGCCUGAUGCAGCCAUGCCGCGUGUAUGAAGAAGGCCUUCGGGUUGUAAAGUACUUUCAGUCGGGAGGCGUUACCGACAGAAGAAGCACCGGCUAACUCCGUGCCAGCAGCCGCGGUAAUUC